GGAGGAAUGGCCGAGUGGACGAAGGCAACGGUCUUGAAAACCGUACUAGCGCAAGCUAGCGGGGGUUCGAAUCCCUCUUCCUCCGCCA
rnacentral:tRNA from 1 species